AGGGGGGGCCCCCCCUUUGUAUGAGGGGGGGGCCCCCCCUUUGUUUGAAGGGGGGGCCCCCCCUUUGUUUGAGGGGGGGGGCCCCCCUUU
rnacentral:pre_miRNA from 1 species